AGAUGGAGCAAGUAAUUAAUUUGCUGUGCUAGACAGACUCGACGGUUGGUCUAAAUUUAUGUAUACUUAUACACAUUCCAAUCUUUCCACAGCUCUAUACUUUGUCGCCGUGGCCACUGUUGCGGCCCUCGUAGGACAGCAUAUAGUGAGAAGGCUGAUUAUAUUAUUUGGAAGGGCAUCACUGAUCAUCUUCAUUCUGGCUUUCACAAUAUUUGUCAGUGCAAUCUCACUAGGUGGAGUUGGCAUAUCAAACAUGAUUUGGAAGAUUCACCAGAAUGAAUACAUGGGUUUUGAAAACCUUUGCAAGUAUGAUGUAUAGAAUGUAUCUUUUAGGGAAAGAAAAAAAAGAGGUUGUUAGGAUCCUCAUGCAUGUACUUUUCUCCUAGGUCAAACUUCUUGUACCGUGCUCUAAGUUGUGGAUCAGUAGUAAGAUGAAAGCUUGUUUCUGUCAAA